rnacentral:misc_RNA from 1 species
GAUGAAGAACGUAGCGAAAUGCGAUACUUGGUGUGAAUUGCAGAAUCCCGUGAACCAUCGAGUCUUUGAACGCAAGUUGCGCCCGAAGCCAUUAGGCCGAGGGCACGCCUGCCUGGGCGUCACACGUCGUUGCCCCCCCAGCUACUCCUUCGGGAUUGCGGGGGGCGGAUGAUGGCCUCCCGUGCGCCUCGCCGCGCGGUUGGCAUAAAUGCCAAGUCCUCGGCGACGCACGCCACGACAAUCGGUGGUUGCGAAACCUCGGUUGCCCGUCGUGUGCGGUCGUCGCGCAUCGAGGGCUCGAAAAAAUUGCCGGGUUCCGGCUCGGCUUUCAACGCGACCCCAGGUCAGGCGGGGUUACCCGCUGAAUUUAAGCAUAUCAAUAAGCGGAGGA